rnacentral:tRNA from 2 species
GCGCUCAUAGUUCAACGGAUAGAAUGGGGGUUUGCGGAACCUCCGAUGGCAGUUCGAUUCUGCCUGAGCGCACAA